rnacentral:ncRNA from 1 species
UCGUGGGCGACUGCGAAUCUGAGGGAAGCCGAGGGUAAAUCUCUGGCCUGACGAACAGGAAGCGGAUCAGGCAGUCACGUCAGGGUGAGCUUACAACACAAAUCAGAGCCCUAAACUGUCCGAAAGUCGUGGCUAUAAAUCCGAUAAGUAUAUGGAGAGAAAAUUUGCGUU